rnacentral:rRNA from 1 species
AGUGAACGCUGGCGGUAGGCCUAACACAUGCAAGUCGAACGGCAGCACAGUAAGAGCUUGCUCUUACGGGUGGCGAGUGGCGGACGGGUGAGGAAUACAUCGGAAUCUACUUUUUCGUGGGGGUUAACGUAGGGAAACUUACGCUCAUACCGCAUACGACCCACGGGUGAAAGCAGGGGAUCUUCGGACCUUGCGCGAUUGAAUGAGCCGAUGUCGGAUUAGUUAGUUGGCGGGGUAAAGGCCCACCAAGGCGACGAUCCGUAGCCGGUCUGAGAGGAUGAUCAGCCACACUGGAACUGAGACACGGUCCAGACUCCUACGGGAGGCAGCAGUGGGGAAUAUUGGACAAUGGGCGCAAGCCUGAUCCAGCCAGACCGCGUGGGUGAAGAAGGCCUUCGGGUUGUAAAGCCCUUUUGUUGGGAAAGAAAAGCAGCAGGUUAAUACCACGCUGUUCUGACGGUACCCAAAGAAUAAGCACUGGCUAACUUCGUG